AGACUGUCUCAUUAGUUUCUUCUAGAAAUUACUUUAAAGAGUGAAAAUUCUCUUGAGAAUAAAAAAAGACGAGAAGACCCUUAGAGUUUAAAUUAAAAAAGAGUCUCUUUUUAAUUUUUUUGUUGGGGCAACAAGAUAUCAGAUAAAUUUAUCUAAAUAAAAUUUAACAAGCCGUACUAAUUGUAAAGAAAGGUAAAACUACCUUAGGGAUAACAGCAUAAUUUUUUUUAAGAUUGUGACCUCGAUGUUGGACUAG
rnacentral:rRNA from 1 species